rnacentral:rRNA from 1 species
UACAGAGGGUGCGAGCGUUAAUCGGAAUUACUGGGCGUAAAGCGCGCGUAGGCGGUUAAUUAAGUCAGAUGUGAAAGCCCAGGGCUCAACCUUGGAACUGCAUUUGAAACUGGUUAACUAGAGUUUUGUAGAGGGUGGUAGAAUUUCCAGUGUAGCGGUGAAAUGCGUAGAGAUUGGAAGGAAUACCAGUGGCGAAGGCGGCCACCUGGACAGAGACUGACGCUGAGGCGCGAAGGCGUGGGGAGCAAACGGG